rnacentral:rRNA from 1 species
UGGGGAAUAUUGCGCAAUGGGGGGAACCCUGACGCAGCCAUGCCGCGUGAAUGAAGAAGGCCUUAGGGUUGUAAAGUUCUUUCGAUAUUGAGGAAGGUUGAUGUGUUAAUAGCACAUCAAAUUGACGUUAAAUACAGAAGAAGCACCGGCUAACUCCGUGCCAGCAGCCGCGGUAAUACGGAGGGUGCGAGCGUUAAUCGGAAUAACUGGGCGUAAAGGGCACGCAGGCGGUUAUUUAAGUGAGGUGUGAAAGCCCCGGGCUUAACCUGGGAAUUGCAUUUCAGACUGGGUAACUAGAGUACUUUAGGGAGGGGUAGAAUUCCACGUGUAGCGGUGAAAUGCGUAGAGAUGUGGAGGAAUACCGAAGGCGAGGGCAGCCCCUUGGGAAUGUACUGACGCUCAUGUGCGAAAGCGUGGGGAGCAAACAGGAUUAGAUACCCUGGUAGUCCACGCUGUAAACGCUGUCGAUUUGGGGGUUGGGGUUUAACUCUGGCGCCCGUAGCUAACGUGAUAAAUCGACCGCCUGGGGAGUACGGCCGCAAGGUUA